GACGAACGCUGGCGGCGUGCUUAACACAUGCAAGUCGAACGGAAAGGCCCCUUUGGGGGUACUCGAGUGGCGAACGGGUGAGUAACACGUGAGUAACCUGCCCUUGACUUCGGGAUAACUUCAGGAAACUGGGGCUAAUACCGGAUAGGAAUCCUUGCUGCAUGGUGGGGGUUGGAAAGCUUCGGCGGUUUUGGAUGGACUCGCGGCUUAUCAGCUUGUUGGUGGGGUAGUGGCUUACCAAGGCUUUGACGGGUAGCCGGCCUGAGAGGGCGACCGGCCACAUUGGGACUGAGAUACGGCCCAGACUCCUACGGGAGGGAGCAGUGGGGAAUAUUGCAAAAUGGGCGGAAGCCUGAUGCAGCAACGCCGCGUGCGGGAUGACGGCCUUCGGGUUGUAAACCGCUUUCAGCAGGGGCGAAGCUUGUGGGGCCGGAACCGGAAGAAGAAACACCGGCUAAUUACGU
rnacentral:rRNA from 1 species